UUGGGAGGCCAAGAUGGAUGGAUUCUGAGGUCAGGAGUUCAAGACCAGCCUGGCCAAGAUGGUCCAGAAGUGUCAUUCUAAAGCUGGUAGAGGUUUCACGAGUCAUCAGGGACCCAGAACCCUUCUCUUUUGCUGUCCCCUUGUCCUAGUGCAUGGUUUCCACAUUGUGGUGCAAGAUGUCUGCUCAAGCUCUAGGCAUUACAUCUGCUAUCCUGCUGUCAUAAAAAGGAAGGGGAAAAGAAGAUCAUUUUCCUUCCCUUUAAGGACAUUUCCCAGAAGUCACACAGAACAUUUCCAUUUAUAUUACUUUGGCCAGAACUUGGUCAUAUGGCCACAUUUAGCUCCAGAGUGGUUAGGAAAUGCAGUCUUUUAUUUUGGAGAUCCCUGUGCCCAGGAAAACACUGGAGGCCUUUUUCAAGGAAAAAGGGGAAAACAGAUAUUGGUUGACAAAUAGCAGUCUCUGCCAUACUGUCCCUGGAUACAUGUCUUUGGGUGAAUGUCCCUUAUUUACCAUUCUGAUUGCUUGUUGGAUAUUUUCAAUAUGUGUUAUAAUAUGGUUCCAAAAUUGUAUGUGAUAUUCCAACAGCAAGUUGGAUGCAGUGUGUCAUAUAAAUGACCUCAGUGUCAACCAGCAUUUGAAUACCGUGUCUCAAUGCUAUGCACCAAUAAAGAACAUAGAAAGUCAGAGAUUUCCAUAAAUAA